CCUACGGGGGGCAGCAGUGGGGAAUAUUGGGCAAUGGGCGCAAGCCUGACCCAGCAACGCCGCGUGAAGGAAGAAGGCUUUCGGGUUGUAAACUUCUUUUGUCAGGGAAGAGAAGAAGACGGUACCUGACGAAUAAGCCACGGCUAACUACGUGCCAGCAGCCGCGGUAAUACGUAGGUGGCAAGUGUUGUCCGGAUUUACUGGGUGUAAAGGGCGUGUAGCCGGGUUGACAAGUCAGAUGUGAAAUCCUGCGGCUGAACCGCAGAACUGCAUUUGAAAAUGUUGAUCUUGAGUAAUGGAGAGGCAGAUGGAAUGCCUAGUGUAGCGGUGAAAUGCGUAGAUAUUAGGAGGAACACCAGUGGCGAAGGCGGUCUGCUGGACAGCAACUGACGGUGAGGCGCGAAAGCGUGGGGAGCAAACAGGAUUAGAUACCCUAGUAGUC
rnacentral:rRNA from 1 species